rnacentral:rRNA from 1 species
GGGAUUGCCCUAGUAACGGCGAGUGAAGCGGCAACAGCUCAAAUUUGAAAUCUGGCGCAAGCCCGAGUUGUAAUUUGUAGAGGAUGCUUCUGGGUAGCGACCGAUCUAAGUUCCUUGGAACAGGACGUCAUAGAGGGUGAGAAUCCCGUAUGUGACCGGCCCGCACCCUUUACGUAGCUCCUUCGACGAGUCGAGUUGUUUGGGAAUGCAGCUCUAAAUGGGAGGUAAAUUUCUUCUAAAGCUAAAUACCGGCCAGAGACCGAUAGCGCACAAGUAGAGUGAUCGAAAGAUGAAAAGUACUUUGGAAAGAGAGUUAAAAAGCACGUGAAAUUGUUGAAAGGGAAGCGCCUGCAACCAGACUUCGUGGCAGUGUUCCGCCGGUCUUCUGACCGGUUCAUUCUCUGUCGCGAGGCCAUCAUCGUCUCGGCCCGCCGGAUAAGACCUUGGGAAUGUAGCUCCCCCUCGGGGGAGUGUUAUAGCCCAUGGUGAUGCGGCGAGGCUGGGGCGAGGUCCGCGCUUCGGCAAGGAUGAUGGCGUAAUGGUUGUCGGCGGCCCGUCUUGAAACACGGACCAAGGAGUCUAACAUCUAUGCGAGUGUUCGGGUGUCAAACCCCUACGCGUAAUGAAAGUGAACGGAGGUGGGAACCGCAAGGUGCACCAUCGACCGAUCCUGAUGUCCUCGGAUGGAUUUGAGUAAGAGCAUAGCUGUUGGGACCCGAAAGAUGGUGAACUAUGCCUGAAUAGGGUGAAGCCAGAGGAAACUCUGGUGGAGGCUCGCAGCGGUUCUGACGUGCAAAUCGAUCGUCAAAUUUGGGUAUAGGGGCG